rnacentral:lncRNA from 1 species
UGAGUUUUGGGGCUUUUAAGCCAUGUUUAAGACCAAUCUUGAGCUUGAGGUCCAGAUCUGAGGUUGCUACCUCAGAUCCAUGUUUAUUUUGGUAUGUAAUCCCAUAAAGUAUCAGCCAUUGGGUGGAAAUUGGAGUCUCUUGGUCCUAAACCUUAGCUAUGGGUGUAUUUUGCCUAGAUCUCACUCUCUACACGUAAAGGUUGCAACUUUACGUGGGAAAUAGGCUUGGGGAGGGUAGAUCUAUAGUUUGGAGCUCAUGCAUGACUCGGAAGUCCUCUGCAUGUAAGUGGAUCUUAGUGGACUCGACGAGUCCUUCGAGUGGACUCGGCGAGUAGCUUGAAGAUGAGGAGGAACUCGACGAGUAGGAUGAACAGCUCGUCGAGUCGGAUGAAGUUAGGCAUGGACUCGGCGAGUUGGAUGAACAACUCGACGAGUUGGUUGAAGAUUGUCUAGGACUCGGCGAGUCUGUUCUUGGACUCGGCGAGUCAGAUCGCGAAACCCUAAACCCUUUGAGUUGAGACUCGAAUCAGUGAGUCGGGUGGUGACUCAGCGAGUUGGACAGGUCAGGACUUGGAACUAGUUGGACUCGGCGAGUCAUGGACUGACUCGGCGAGUCGGGUCGCGAAUAAGAAAGACCCUGAGCUUAUGAACUCGGCGAGUCUUUAGGAAGACUCGGCGAGUAGGGUUGACCUGGAAGGUUGACUUUGACCAGAGUUGACUUAGUUGACUGUCAGACUAAGUGUUAUAUGUAUAUUGAUAGCUCGGAGAGCUAGAGGAGCAGCGGUUCAGGGGAUUGUCGAGUAGCAGCCAGAGGUUUAUCAGCAGGGCUCAGCAGUUCAGGUGAGUCUCCUUCCAGUAGGAAUGGGUCUAAGGCCACAAUGCCGGCCCGUUUAGCUAGCAGUAGUUUUCGGAUGUUGAUCUGAUAUAGUAGUUAGUAUGUUUGAUGCCUUCGUGGCUCAGACAGGAUUUAUGUGUUAUGUGUUCCGGGCUACGGCCCGAAGUAGUAUGCAGUAUACGUGUGUUCAUGCUAGUUGAUAUGUUUAUUUUAUGUUCUGUUCAGUUAGCCCGGACUUCGGUCCGAUGCAGGGGACAAGGUCCCAGUCAGUUUCCGGACUUCGGUCCGAUGCAGGGGGCAAGGCCCCAGUUAGCCCGGACUUCGGUCCGAUGCAGGGGACAAGGUCCCAGUUAGUCUGGACUUCGGUCCGAUGCAGGGGACAAGGUCCCAGUCAGUUUCCGGACUUCGGUCCGAUGCAGGGGGCAAGGCCCCAGUUAGCCCGGACUUCGG